UUUUUGACAGGCAGAGUGGACAGUGAGAGAGAGAGACAGAGAGAGAAAGGUCUUCCUUUGCCGCUGGUUCACCCUCCAAUGGCCGCCGCUGCAGCCGGCGCACCGCGCUGAUCCUGGCAGGAGCCAGGAGCCAGGUGCUUUUCCUGGUCUCCCAUGGGGUGCAGGGCCCAAGCACCUGGGCCAUCCUCCACUGCACUCCCUGGCCAUAGCAGAGAGCUGGCCUGGAAGAGGGGCAACCGGGACAGAAUCCGGCGCCCCAACCGGGACUAGAACCCGGUGUGCCGGCGCCGCAAGGUGGAGGAUUAGCCUAUUGAGCCACGGCGCCGGCUUUCUAACUCUAUCUUUCAAAUAAAUUUUUUUUCUAAUAUUCUACUAUAUCUUUUUUUUAAGGUUUAUUUACUUAUUUGAAAGAGUUACAGAGAGGCAGAGAGAGAGAAGUAUUCCAUCCUCUGGUUCCCUCCCCAGAUGGCCCCAAUGGCUGGAGCUAUGCAGAUCAGGAGCCAGGAGCUUCUUCCAGGUCUCCCAUGUGGUUGCAAAGGCCCAAGGACUUGGGCCAUCUUCUGCUGCUUUCCCAGGCCACAAUAGAGAGCUGGAUUGGAAAUGGAGUAGCCAGGACUCGAACUGGCGCCUUUAUGGGAUGCCGGCACUGCAGGUGGUGAUUUUACCUGCUACACCACAGUGCGUACCCCAAUAAAUAAAUUUUUAAAAAAUUCAUGAAGGGAGGGUGGUGAACCAGGAAGCCACCCAGUUCCCUCCAGCCCGUGGCAGACAACUGCACAGCUUCUUGGAGCAGCUUUCUGGAGCCAGAAGGGGCAGUACGGACAUCAUCCUCCAAAGAGGGGGCCUCAGUGUUAUGGCUUUUGAGGUGUAGGCACAGAGCUGGCCACAGCUGUUUCAACCCCCUCUUGGCUAAAGUGGCUUCCAUAGGAUCUAAAGGAGCAACAACCAUGCUGUUUUUGUUUUUUGCUAUUUGGGGUGCCAGACAGACAUUUAAGGAUUUGGACAUUCACAAAUAACCAUGCUUAAGGGGAGAUUUAGAAAGCUGCUGUGGCGACUAGGAAAAGAAGCUCAGACGAGAGCUGAGGAGACCUUGAACUUUCUCCUCAGGCUGGUCCCAAGCACUGAAGCAGCCUGAAGCAAUUUGACUUCCAGAGAUGCAGAGAUUCAUCAACAACAAAAUCAUAAGAUGUACAAGGAAACACAAAAAUGCAGCACAAAGUAAACAGACAAAAAUUGUUCCUAAAGAAGCUCAUCUGUCAGACUUACUGGGCAAGGCUUUACAGAACUGUCUUAAAAAUGCCCAAGCUAAAGGGAGAGAUGGACAAAGUCCACUAAAAAAACGAGUAGACAAAAUGAGAAUAUCAAUAAAGAGACAUUUUAAAAGGGAACCAAAAAGAUUCUAGAUCUGAAAAGUGUAGUAACUGAAAUGAAAAAUCUAGAAGAGUUCAAAAGCAUAUAUAUAUGUGUGUGUGUGUGUGUGUGUCUGUGUGUGUGUAUAUAUAAUAUAUUAUUUAUUUGAACGUUACUAGGACAGGGAGAGACAGGAAGAGAUCUUGCAUCUGCUGGUUGUUCACUCCCCCAGAUGGCUGCAAGAAUGAGGGCUGGGCCAGGCUGAAGCCAGGGGCCAGGAGCUUUAGCCUGUUCUCCCAAGCACUUGAGUCAUCUUCCACUGACUUUCUCAGGCCAUCAGCAGGGAGCGGGAUCAGAAGUGGAGCAGCCAAGCCACGCUCUAGCGCCCGUCUGGGGUGCUGGCAUCUAAGGCAGCAGCUUUACCUGCCACACCACAACGCCUGUCCCUCAAAAGCAGAUUUGAACAAUCAGUGAACUUGAAGAUGAGACAAUAAGUUAUCACAGCUUUUAAAGAUUAAAAAAUGAAAAAUGAACAGAGCUCAAGGAACCUAUGGACACUGUCAAGAGAACUAAUGUACACAUUGUGGGCAUCAGAAGAGGAAGGGGGGGGGGCAGAAAAAUACUCAAAGAAAUAACUGACAUUUUCCCAAAUUUGAUAAAAGCACACGAGUCUACAACCCAAUAAACUCAACCAAUUCUAGGAUACAUUUGGAGAGAGACAUACAUUAUGGACUAUGAAAGAAAGUAGCAAAUGAGAAGUAUCAUCAGUGAACAAGGGACUUUGAAUAGGAUUGUCACUGAUUUCUUAUCAGAAACCUUGGAGGACAGAAGGCAACAGGUUGAUAGACUCAGAAUACGAAAAAACUCAACUGAGAACCCAAUGUCUGGCAAGACUGUCCUUCAGACAUGAAGGAGAAGUUAAGACUCCCAGCUAAACAAUGCAAAGGGAAUCCAUUGCCCCCAAAUUUGUCUGCAAGAAGUGCUGGAGGGGAAAGCCAGUGGUCCUGUGCCAGGGCCAGGGAGGCGUCUGCAGAGAGAAGGGCCACAGUGACGCCCGUGAAGUGGGUGGGGAGACCACAUGGUGGUGACCAGCCCUAAACUGUGUUCUUGGGUUUCAGCAGUCAGAUGACGGUGAUGGCCACCAUGCAGGGACCCCGCAACUGAUUCUAGAAUUAGCACAUAAUUAACUAGAAAACAGAAUGCAAUUCUCCCAACAGUCUUAACAUCUCCUACAAAUGCACAAAUCAGUCGCCACACACACACAUCCAGGGCCCCCUGCAAUUGGUCAGCUGAGGUCAGCAGCUCGCCCUCACAGUGCUGGACAGCAUGGGAGCUGCUGGCAUCUGUCGCCCACCUCUGAGCCCUGCUGGAGGAGAGACGGCCCUUUCAACUCGAAAAAAGCGUUUUAAAACUGGGACAUCGAGCCUACAGCAGUACACCAUGCUCUUUCUGCACUCAGAACACACGGCAGACGUGAUACUUGGGACUGGGACCUGGUCCUGCACUGGCCGGCACCCGUACAGGCCCUGAGAACUCUAUGCCUAAUUAGUGCCUGCGAGAGCCAAGGCACCUUCCCACCAGGUGUGUGCAUGAGUAGACGGAACAGAGCAGCCUUUUAGAAGGAGCUGUGUCUCCAUUUCUUUGUGAUUUCACUGGGGAAGCUGAAGCAAGAAGGUGCAGAGGAAGGGCCUGGGACCCAGGGAGAGAUGUGGCAUGGGGCACCCCAACCGUGAGAGCAGCCAUUUCACUUGAGGGGCCGAGAAAACACAACCAUGCUCUUAGUAAACCACAUGACAGAACCCAGGCAAGGGGUCAGCCCCAGAAAGGCCAGGCGCGCUCUAGCCUCUGGCUUCCUGCUCCCUAAUUUCACUGCCUGGGUCCCCACCUUGCAGGACACAGUACAGCAGAGGUGAAACUGCCCAGCCGACCUGUGCAUGUUGUAUCAGGUGGCGUGAGGCGUGCUGUCCCUUGCUUGACCCCUGAAGCUGUGAUAAGUUAGGGAAAGCUGAUGAUUCUGUUGAAUCCAAUACUUCUAGCCAUAGCCCCUAACGUAGGGUUCGAAUCAGCUGAAAGUCUGCUGGGGGCAAGGAGAGGCUGAGACGGUGUGAGCCCCUGUGGGCCACUCCUGCAGGACACCAGGGGCACCGAGUCUGUGGCCGAAGGGUGAGAGCUGAGCGUCCUCCGCGUCCAGGGGCAGGGGCAGCUGCCUAUCUAGGGUUUUCGGAUGCUGGCGUUUCUGCCUGCUUCCUUUGCUCGUUACAGGCUUUACUCUGCCCCUAACAAGUUGUUCCCCUCCCAACUUGAAGCUGGAUUUAUCCUGGGAAGAAGUUGAGGACCCCUCUCCUGUUAAGUUGGGUAAGCAGUUGCAGCGAUCAAUGAACCAUGGCCCUCCCCAGGUGAUCAUGAACAAUUUAGAGGUAGAAGUUAAUCCAUUUCGUUUAUUUAAGAGAAGAAGAAAUCUCCGUCCUGUUUCCCUCCGCAGAGGAUUCAACCGCCAGGGCUGGGCCAGACCGAAGCCUGGAACUCCACCCAGGUCUCCCAAGCACUUGAGCCCACACACGCCCAGGAUGUGCUUGCCGGGAAGCUGGGGUAGGGAGCAGAAGCAGCACUGAAACCAGGCAGAGUGGGCAGUGAGAGAGAGAGAAAGGUCUUCCUUUGCCGUUGGUUCACCCUCCAAUGGCUGCUGCGGGUGGCGCACUGCGGCCGGCGCACCGCGCUGAUCCGAUGGCAGGAGCCAGGUGCUUCUCCUGGUCUCCCAUGGGGUGCAGGGCCCAAGCACUUGGGCCAUCCUCCACUGCACUCCCAGGCCACAGCAGAGAGCUGGCCUGGAAGAGGGGCAACCGGGACAGAAUCCGGCACCCCGACCGGGACUAGAACCCGGUGUGCCGGCGCCACAAGGCGGAGGAUCAGCCUAGUGAGCCGCGGCGCCGGUCACACUGUGAUUUCUACUUGAAGUCUCAGUUUAUCGAUGCAACAAGUGCUGUUCCCAUGGAGUGAGAACUUCAGAACCUGGAGAGGGAAAACGCAGGGACGAGGGCCAGCUAAUGCUUCACAAAAGACGUCAGAGGAAAAGCCAGCCAAGAGUUCGUGAAUCCAGGAGGCUGAUUCCGUGUGUUCAUGGUGUUUGCUAUAUAGUUAAAAUAUUUGUGAUAAACAUUUACAAGCUUGGAAAACAAUGAAUGGCUCUGGGGAACAGCUGGAGUGUGCAUCACAAGCACAGCUUCGGGAGCACAGUGCCCCGCCGUGGGAGGCUCGAGGACACGGCAGUGGCGGUGCCAGCGUCAGCAACACCGGCGAGGCCGGCAGUUCGGCUCCAGGGGGCCCCCAGGGCGCUGCCCAGUGCUUCCAGGGGUCGGGAGCUGGGCAUCGAGCGUGCAGCUUUGCUUGCAGAAGGCAGCAGGCCUCGGAGACUGGAAGCAGGGAGGGAGGGAGUGCAGCCAGGGUCCCGGUCGGACGGCAGGUGCUCCUGGAAGAUUUUGUGAGCGCUGAGUUUUGGGAAGAUUGUCCUGGCAACGUGAAAAGGGAGCCAAAGUGAGAGUCAGACUCAGUGCCACCCUGGCUCCUUCGCCUGCUUGGCGCCAUGCCCAGGUGUGGACAGACAGGCGCACUGAGGGCACACGCCCUCCACAGUCACAGUCCCUGCCAUGGGAGGCAGAAGGCAGAGCCACAGGGGAGCGGCCCCUGCACGUGGAAGCGCCCGGUUUCCCCACCAUGAUUCAUCUGACACCGCAGAGGGUUAUUCUCAGUAACAUUAUUUUUAGAGCUGUACCCGUGGGCGCUUUGGCUGAGGCUCUGCCUGCAGCCCAGGGUCAGAGCAGCCGUAGGCUGUGUGGAAGGAAGGGACAAAGGGAAAGGAGAAGGCCGGGGAGCAGAGGGGGCAGAGAUGCCGGAGAAACCGUGAGUGGGACUCUCUUCUUGAAAUUCAAAUAAAUACAACGAAUUCUAAUUUUUGUCUCGGAAGACGACAACCCCGUGACAUUUCUGUUUCUGCUGAUUGUACUGUGUCAGCGCCACUGCACAUCACAAGACACCUGGAAUACAGCAGGUUCAGAGCUAACGGGUCCAGGAUGACGGCCGGCCCUGAGACUGGUGCAGAGCCCCCCACAGACAGCGCAGCCUUGGGUUGCGUUCUGUCGCCUUCUUGCUGACCAUGCUUUAGCACAGCUGUCCACCCGCCCUCUCUAGAGACUCGCCCUGAGGUAGGGUUGCCCUGGCAACUGACCAGCUAAGGAGAGAAAAAGGGGACUUGCCAGGUGCCUGGAAUGCACACGCUGCACAACCAGCCCUGCCUCACGGGGAGCGGCCCCCGGGCCCUGAGCAGUUGGCGCCCACCCUGCCUGUGUGGCUGACUGCAAGCCCAGCAUGGCUCAGGCAAAGCACCCGAGAGAUCAACCGAGUGGCUCUGCCUUCGAGGAGCAGCGGUUUCUGAGGACUGUGGCGGCCGGGGGCUGGCUGCCUGCUCCCCAGCCACUAUGCUUGCCGGCCAACUCCCAGUGCCCCUCGGGCAGCGGCACGGUGGGAGCCACUGCCGGAGCCCGCAGGUGUGCAGAAGGGAACGGGGGCUGAGUGGCUGUGGCUUUGCGAUUCCGCCGCAGUGUGAGGUGUCUUCUCUAAAAGGAAAGCAGCCCGUGGCCGGGCAAGCCCCCUGCUGCCCCUCCCUCGCACGGCUGGCACAGCGUCAGGAGACUGUGCUGCCCCGGAGGGAAUAUUGCUCAGCUCUGGUAACCCUCUGCACCAGUCAGUUGGAAACGGAGACUGUAUUUUUAAAACCCAGACCUCACUAAAUGUGGUGUCAUCACCACUUUGUGUGUCUGGCGGGAGCUUGCAGGCCUGUGCUGGGGGUCAGAACCUUUCUUGGUGACUGAGUCCUUGCUGGAGGCGCUGGGCUGGUCACUGCACGGCCAGUUGUCACAAUGCAAGCCCACCCCCGCGCCCCUCCUGCCCUGCUUGCCCUCCCAGCCCUGCCAGGAAUUGGGCCACACACCCGCCUUGGACUUCAGCCUGCAGAGCUAAAUGACCCCUUCCUCUAAGUUAGCCAGCCUCGGUGUUCUGUGACAGCCACAGAGACGCUCAGGCCCUGAGCCCUGCUCCUGUGUGUGCCUGCCCCCGGGGACAUGACCACAGGCAGGCCUGGUCUCCCAGCCCCUCUGCCAGCCAGCUGCACUCAGCCCUGACACCUGUCCUGCUCGCCCCCACUACCUUGUGGAAAUUUAAAUACGUGAAGACCUCAUCCUGCCCAGUGCGCAGGUGGAUGCACAGAAGUGGCCUGGAUGGAGUCACACGGAGCCCCAGGAGGAUCCCAGGGCUGACCCUGAAUUUGGUCUCAGUCAUGACCUUGAGUUUCAGCCAAUUCCAUUUGCCCACAGAGCCAAGCCCUGGAGAUAACCCUGUGCCUGCGCCCAGAACUACACCAAGACCUGCCCUGUCCACAGUGUGUGCGUGAGCAGGGUGGUAGCUGUCGCUCAGCCAGGGUCUAGGCCAGGGAGGAGCUGUGUCAAAGGCAGUCCAGGGCUGUGUGGGAGUGCAGGAGGCAGGACAGGAUGUGUGGAUGGAGCUGCCGUCUUCCACAACACCCUCUGGGCCCUCAUAGGACCACAGAGCUGGACCUGUGUCCAGGGAGCUCACCCUGCAGCAUGUCCAGUGAUGUGCUAUGGAUGGAUCCAGGCCUGAACCUCUUCUGCAUCGCUGGGCACAUCCCAGGGCCCACAGGCAAACUGAGAGGAAGAGGAGGUGGAAGGGGUGGCUGUGUGUUGUCCAGCACCUGCUGUACGUGGGACUUGCCCCACAGGGACAGGAGACAGCUGCUGCCCCCAGAUUCCACCAGCCCAGGGACAGCGCAUGGAGGGCUGUGUGUGGCCUUAGGGUGGUGUGCCUGCAUGAUUUAUGAGCAGUCACCUGGAAUCAGGAGGUCACAGUUGUUAAGAAGCACAAAGAAAACACAUGUUGCUGCUUUAGCAAAAUAAAGGCUCACUGUUAUAUUUGAUACUUCGUAUGUGAGUCAUGUUCAAGGGCAAUACAUACAGAAAAAGUUUCACUGUUUUGGAAGGCAGAGAGACAGAGACAGAGCACUUCCAUCCACUGGUUCACUCCCCGAAUGCCUGGAACAGGCAAGGCUGUCCAAGAGAAAUCCUGCGGGUAGCAGGGACCCAAGUGCUGGAGCCAUCCCAGGGGUGCAUGAGCAAGAAACCAGGACUGGAAGCAGAAGCGAGCCUACACCAGUCAGCCUGAGCAGCAUCUGAGGCUCUGUGCCCCAGGCCUGCCCCUCAUUGACGUUUUCUGAGCAUCAGCUAUCUGCUAGAGCCUUACUCCCACCACAUUUAAAUCUGUAGGGCUUUUUACUUUGUUCGUAUUGAAAACACCAAAGUCCAAAAGAAGACGUGUGCUGAGCCUGAGCAGCAAAGAUGCUUCAGGCCUGGUGUUGAGAGCGUCCACGGAAGACUUGGCAUCGCCAAAGCGGAUCUCCACCAAGACAGGUGCCUCAGAGCCCCCAGACCCACCACAGCCCCCUGGCCCCUCUGCAGCAUCAGGUCCAGGAGUGGGGCUUGCUGUCUGUCUACAGCAUCGUCCAGCUUUCCAGAGUUAGGAAUGGCCCCACAGGCCAUGAGCCCAGGCCUGUGUCCUGCUUCUUCCCAGGGCUUCCUGAUGGUGGGGCAGCUCUGCUGGGAUGGGGCCUGGCCACACUCCCUGAUGCUGAUGACCGUCCUCAGCUUGGGAGGGGUCAUCUGCACCCCCCUCACUCAGCAAACAAAGUAGCAAAGGCUGUAGCCCGAGAGAAAGAGGAGACCCUGAAUCAUCAGCUCCUCCUGGAAACCUAGGCACCUCCCAGAUGACGCCACAUUAACCCUUUGGGUCUGACCGUCCAGUGCCAGUGGCUGUCUCACCAACAGCCAGGGAGAGGCUGCCCCGUCCCACAACACUGAGUCCAUGGUGGAGGAGGGGCCCUCGACCGAGAGGGACAGGGCAGCACCCACUCCUGGCUGCUGCAGGCAGCCCUCCUGGCCGCAGCCACCCCUUGCAAACUGCAGGGUAAGGAGCCUUCCCAGGCCCAGAGAGCACUGAAGGUCCCCAACAGGUGUCACCCCUGGAGGCUCCAGCUACAGGAGAGGCCUGGGAGACAAGGCACCGACUCCCACUUGCUGCCCACAGCCCACCCCAGCAUCUCUCAGCCGCCGUCAUGUUCUGCCUGCCAGUCACAUGGGUGCUGCUGCCGUACAGCCUGGCGCAGGACGGCUCUGCCCCAGGAGCCCUGCACAGGGCAUGCUGCGCCCCAGUCCCUGCGCUGUAUGAGAAGCAUCUGGGUAAUACAGGUGGGCCCUGUGUGAAUCACAGGCUGGGAGGGACCUGGCCACAAGCCCAGGAAUGUUCAGGCUGGGUGAGCUGUAGGACUCAGGGAUGCCCCACCCGACCCCGGGGGUCUCCAGAAGGAGUGGCCCCUCCAUGCCUGAUUUAAACCCUGACACCAGGACUGUGGGGAUCACUGUGGUUUUCAGCCACUACCUCUGCAGUAAUUCCCACACAGCCGCCACACACUGGGUCCAGUCUCUGGAGCAGGGACACGGAGCUUGGUCCCUGUGCAGGUGGGCGCCUCUCAUGUCUUAGCUCUGGCUCCAGAUCCUGCCAGGACUGCCUUGGCUCACGGAGGGCCUGGAUUACCACAGGCUGCAGUCAAGGAUGGCAGGGCAGGGAGGCCCGCAGCGGGGGCCUUGCCACCCUUGCCCGCCUGCCCCCGUGCCCCAGCCCAGCAGCUGCUGCUCAGAGUUGCUGUGACUCCGGGCCACACAUUUGUAAGCAUUUCCUUGGGAUUCAGGAUUGCAAGGAGCUGAGUCGGCAUUCCCACCUGGUGGCCUAAUCAGGUUCCAGAAACUUCUGGAAGCCCAGGCUGAACUUCGAGGCAGGCAGCUGAGCUUAAGGGGGAGGCUGGGAGGCAGCCUCAGGCAGUGCUGUGGGGGGACGGGUUGAGUGGCUCCCACGGUCACAUGCACAACACCUUGGGGCUGACGUAGCAGGGCUGCCGGCUGCCGGCUGCCAGUCUCACAAGUCAAUCCUGCUCCCCGCGCCGCCACCGCCAGAGCGAGAUGGUUUGGGAGUGCAACCUCAGAGGGCUGGAGCUACCACUUGGCCACAGUGCAGAAUGCAAAAAUGCCAAGCCGACCCAGCGAGGCCCAGACUCCCCAAUAAAAGGAGGCCAGCAGAGCCAGGGCACCAGAGCCCUGCGUACCACAGACGUCAGCAGACACAGCAGAGCUCUGUCCAUCACACCAGCAGAGCCUGGCUCUCUCCUAGGGACCCUGCACCCCCGCAAAGCACUCAGCCACUGGGGAGGUGACCUGGGAAUGCCCGGCUCCUCUGCCCCCUGACUGCCCUGUCUGGGGGCCUGUGAGAGGCAGUCCCUGGGAACCUAGAAGCCCCUGCAGGAUACGCCACCCGCAUCCACCCUCAUCACUAUGGUGUCUUCCCUGUGGAGACUGCGGUGUGCUCCAGAUGAUGUCCCUGUGCCCGCUCAGCUGGGUGAAGGCAGCUCAUGCCUGGGGAGAAGCAGAGAGGGUGUCUGACCUCUGCUGUCACUCCCAGCACAGAGCAGGCAGGGUGGGGAGGUGGGGGAAAACCUGCCUCUGGGGCGCCCCCAAAGCGAGCCAGGGCACUUGUUUCUGUCCAAGCUGAAUUUAGCCCCGGAUCACUCUAGCUGGGGAGAGGUGCGGAGCCUGCAGCUGGCUUCCACCACAUGACACCCAGGGGCUCGCUGGCAGGGACUGCUUGGCCCUGGAAUGCAUCCAGCCAAGUAGAAAUCUCUGUGGUCAGUUCUGCAGUGAGACAAGAGCCACAUGAGGACUGUCCGGGUCUAUGCUGGGGUUGAGGCCCCAAGAGGCCCAGUGCAGCAGGCAGAACCUGGGAGAGGCUAUGGACUGAGCUGAACUGGAGAGCAGGGACGCAGCAGGGGCCCAGACGCACGGCCCAGCAACCAUGGGGAGCUGCGCCCACAGGGAACGCGUGCAGCUUCUCCCCGGCACAGCUUCGCCCCCUUCAGGCUCCCUCCUCCGCAGCCCAGUCUGAUCAGGCCAGCCCUUCCUCUGCCCAGUGACCACAGGCUGUGUCCAGGGUCCAGGCUGGGCGAAUGCCCCGUGAAAGGCGAUCUCCAAAAUCCUUUCUCUCAGGCAUUGGUGGACAGCCAGAGAAAAUCCAAGGCCUGCCGAGGUGAAGCCCCUGGGCUGCGUUGGCUGGUGGACUUGAGCGCUCGCCCACACCCACGGGAGCCGCCUGCCCACCUCCACCCUGAGGUGUUUGCUUGGGAUGCUCAGCCCCCGCUCGGGAUCUCCUGUAAAAGCCAGAAACAGCAGCCGGGUCCAGCCACCAGGGGCGAGGGCGAGGGCCGGCGAGGAGGGCUUCUGGCCGCUGUUUGCCUCUGACUGCUGCUCACCAGGCUCUGGGGGCCGUCGCUGUGGCGCAGCGGGUUAACGCCCUGGCCUAAAGUGCCGGCAUCCUAUAUAGGUGGGUGCCGGUUCAAGAACAGCUGCUCCACUUCCAAUCCAGCUCUCUGCUAUGGCCUGGGAAAGCGGUAGAAGACGGCCCAAGUCCUUGGAGAUCCUGCACCCACGUGGGAGACCUAGAGGAAGCUCCUGGCUUCUGGUUUUGGAUCAGUGCAGCUCUGGCCAUUGCGGCCAGUUGGGGAGUGAACCAUUGGAUGGAAGACCUCUCUCUCUCUCUCUGCCUCUCCUCUCUGUGUAAC